rnacentral:rRNA from 1 species
AUGAAGGGGCUUGCAGAUGAGCUCGCCGCCGCUGGAAAACCGCUCGAUGAAGACGACAUCGUCUCGCACAUCCUGGAGGGCCUCAUGCACGAACCCGAUUACAAUGGGUUUGUCACCGCCAUUUCCACACGCGCUCGAUCAACCCUCGGCCUCAGCGAACUUUUUUCGCUGCUGCUCUCCGCGGAGUCACGGAUCGCCGCCCAGCAAGCAGCCUACACCGCCCAUCACUCCGCCAACCUCGCCGCAAAGGGUGGUCGAGGCGGCUACGGC